CAUGCAAGUCGAGCGGUAGAGAGAAGCUUGCUUCUCUUGAGAGCGGCGGACGGGUGAGUAAUGCCUAGGAAUCUGCCUGGUAGUGGGGGAUAACGUUCGGAAACGGACGCUAAUACCGCAUACGUCCUACGGGAGAAAGCAGGGGACCUUCGGGCCUUGCGCUAUCAGAUGAGCCUAGGUCGGAUUAGCUAGUUGGUGAGGUAAUGGCUCACCAAGGCGACGAUCCGUAACUGGUCUGAGAGGAUGAUCAGUCACACUGGAACUGAGACACGGUCCAGACUCCUACGGGAGGCAGCAGUGGGGAAUAUUGGACAAUGGGCGAAAGCCUGAUCCAGCCAUGCCGCGUGUGUGAAGAAGGUCUUCGGAUUGUAAAGCACUUUAAG
rnacentral:rRNA from 1 species